AUCACUUCCUCACCUUUUGAUUUAAGAUCAGAUGUAGUAUACCUGUUCUUAUCGGUUUAGUAGCUGAUAUAUCCUCUAUUCAAGGCCAAUAUAUUAAAUGGAUUUUUUGGAGCGCAGAGAUGGACUAGGAACUUGCUCUGUCCUCUCCAUGCAUGGACCUGGUAUUAUUGUACCUCCAGGAACAGUGCACACACC
rnacentral:snRNA from 1 species